rnacentral:rRNA from 1 species
GUGUCGUUGGUCUUGUUAGGUCGCUUGAGUAGCGUGCUCGUAGUCGUCGUCGUCUCUCUCCGUCCUUCUCGCCGGCCGCCCGCUCUACCGCGUCCUCCCGGACUCCGACCACACGGGGGGCCACAGCCGCGUGCUCCCCGCCGACGGCGCCGUCAUGUGUGACCUCCCCGUCCCGCGCUUCUUCCUGUAGAGCGGCGGCGACCUCACCAUGCCCCACGGGCUGCCGUGCGCCAGCGACCGCCACCACCACGUCCUGUAGCUGCGCCUGCUCGCCCACGGCACCUGCGUGACCCACCACCGGUUGUAGAGCGGGCUCCUCUUCCCCGACGGGCUCCCGAAGAGGCCGCGGCCCCCGUUGCGGUUGCGGCCGUCGCCGCGUCCGCCGCAGGUCCUCCCCCAGUUGCUGACCUUCGUCGGGCCCACCGCGCCGGGGCAGGGCCUGAGGGUGCCAGUGGCGUAGGUCAAGGCCGAGAUGCGCGAGCUGCUGCACGAGUCGGAGCCGUUGUUCCACUGACACCUGUUCCAGUACCUCCGGUAGCUCCCCGUGCACGAGCCCCUCCGGCUCUAGUGCGGCCCAUGACAGCGUACU